rnacentral:rRNA from 1 species
UACGUAGGGUGCGAGCGUUGUCCGGAAUUAUUGGGCGUAAAGAGCUCGUAGGCGGCUUGUCACGUCGGUUGUGAAAGCCCGGGGCUUAACCCCGGGUCUGCAGUCGAUACGGGCAGGCUAGAGUUCGGUAGGGGAGAUCGGAAUUCCUGGUGUAGCGGUGAAAUGCGUAGAUAUCUGAAGGAACAUCAGUGGCGAAAGCGACUUCCUGGACCAAUACUGACGCUCAUGUGCGAAAGCGUGGGGAGCAAACAGG